UGUGUUUUUGUUGAUUCUCGGAUGGAAGCUCGUGCUUGUUUUGAAUAUUGGAACUCUGGCAAUUAACUGAAGCUUUGUAUGUCUGCUCAUCUGUUCUCUAGUCUUCCCAUGAGCCUCUGCUCCUGAAGUUAUUCCUUCCACACGCUGCGGCAUCUCAGUUUGGUUUGCUUAGCUUAGCCUGUGCAUCGUGACCGACGGAUGGAGCGGACUAAAAUGCAUCUGAGGGCUGUUUGCUCUGGCUCAACGCCAUCAGAAGAGUCGGCUUUAGAUCUCGAAAGGAGCUGUUGUAAUCAUUCUAAUUUUCCUUCACUCAGUCCGCCAAUGCUCCAACCGUUUGCAUCGGCUGGACAGCACUGUGAGAGCAAUGCCGCCGCUUACUUCUCAUGGCCAAGUCGGUUGAAUGAUUGUGCUGAGGAGCGUGCGAAUUAUUUUGCAAAUUUGCAGAAAGGGGUGCUACCCGAAACUCUUGGCCGGUUGCCGAAAGGCCAGCAAGCUAACACAUUGCUCGAACUCAUGACCAUAAGAGCAUUUCAUAGCAAAAUCUUGCGCUGCUACAGUCUUGGCACUGCCAUUGGUUUUCGGAUUCGACGUGGUGUUUUGACUAACAUACCGGCCAUUCUCGUAUUUGUCUCUAGGAAAGUCCAUAAGCAGUGGCUUAGCCCCAUCCAAUGUCUUCCAACUGCUCUAGAGGGACCUGGAGGGGUGUGGUGUGAUGUUGAUGUGGUUGAGUUUUCAUACUUUGGUGCACCUGAGCCAGCUCCUAAAGAGCAGUUAUACACUGAGAUUGUGGAUGACUUGCGUGGAGGUGAUCCAUGCAUUGGUUCAGGCUCACAGGUGGCAAGCCAAGAGACAUAUGGAACCUUGGGUGCCAUAGUGAGGAGCCAGACAGGAGUAGACAAGUUGGCUUUCUCACCAAUCGCCAUGUUGCUGUUGACUUAGAUUAUCCAAAUCAGAAAAUGUUUCAUCCUCUGCCUCCAACUCUUGGGCCUGGGGUAUACCUAGGUGCUGUUGAGAGGGCAACUUCCUUCAUCACAGAUGAACUUUGGUAUGGCAUUUUUGCCGGGAUAAAUCCAGAGACAUUUGUGAGAGCUGAUGGGGCAUUCAUUCCUUUCGCUGAUGAUUUUGACAUGUCCACUGUUACUACAUCCGUAAGGGGCAUGGGGGAAAUUGGUGAUGUCAAGAUUAUAGAUUUGCAGGCUCCAAUAGGUAGCAUAAUUGGGAGGCAAGUGAUGAAGGUUGGGAGAAGUUCUGGCCUGACCACUGGAACAGUUUUGGCUUAUGCUCUUGAGUACAAUGAUGAGAAAGGGAUCUGCUUUUUAACUGACUUCCUUGUUGUGGGAGAGAAUCAACAAACUUUUGAUCUCGAAGGAGACAGUGGAAGUCUCAUAAUAUUGAAGGGUGAGGGCAGCGGGAAACCACGGCCCAUUGGGAUUAUCUGGGGAGGAACGGCUAAUAGGGGACGGCUAAAACUAAAAGUUGGCCAGCCUCCAGAAAAUUGGACCAGCGGAGUAGAUCUUGGACGUCUCCUCAAUCUUCUUGAACUUGAUCUAAUAACAACCAAUGAGGGGCUGAAAGUGGCAGUGCAAGAACAAAGAGCUGCCUCAGCAACAGCAAUUGGCUCAACUGUUGGUGACUCAUCGCCCCCAGAUGGCAUCACGGGUAAGGAAAAAAUUGAUGAGAAACUAGAUUCCCUUGGUCUUCAGAUAGAGCACAUCCCUCUGGAAUUAGAACCGAGCAGCUCUGAGAUGAAUCCGUCCCUGAUGGAUCCCGACUUCACUAUAGAAGAUGGAAUCAAGGUUGGUCCAAGCAUUGAACACGAGUUUAUUCCUCCAAGCUUCUGUAGACGGUCUCCACUCCAUCAGAACAAUCUGUCCGACAAAAUGGUUUCUCAGAAUCUAUCGUCACUGAGAAACAACUGCGAUGAAGAUAUUUGUGUCUCAUUGCAGUUGGGUGACACCGAGGCCAAGAGGAAACGUUCCGAUGCAUGUAGUGAGACUGGAGAUCUGAAAUGACAUUGUACAUCUCCAUUCGCAUCUUAAAACCAUGGUGCGAAUCUUUAAUCUCUGACUCUGCACUUUUUAAUUGAACUGCGUCGAUUUGUGGGUCAAGACCAAGUAGUGGCUUUAAAUAAGUGAGAUGGUGUGGCGAAGCCCAUUGCCAUCGGUAUAGCAGCUCAGAGAAAUGCUUAGAAAGUAGACCGAGAAAACAAGUCGACAUUCCCGAACAUGACUGGAGGAAGAGCCACGUUAUGAUUGUGCGAGCCUCGGACGGGAGAUCAGUAAAUUUUUAAGCAUUGACUGUGGCAUAUGAGGCUGCAAUUUGCAUACAUGUCUGAACAGAUGCCAAGCUCAGCGUAUCCUCCGGGGGUGAUGGCGGUAACAAACGAUAACAGGAUUAUGAUCGGUACGUUGGGCCAUCACAGUGUGACGGCAUAAACAGAAAACAUGGCGGGUUAACCGUGGAAUUUCUUGCAAAUUAAUCAUUAUGUUCCUUCA